AAGUCAACUUUCUUACAAACAAUCUUAAAGAAAUCAUAUAUGUUCUUAUUGAAAAUUAAAUUGUAAAAAAUAUAACAAUAUUUAAAGCUUAAAAGGCAGCCCUUAAAUACAGCACCCCAAAAAUAUAUACCAUAUAUAGAAAAAAACUUAAUAAUAUUAAAAGUUUUGUAUAUUUUCUUAAAAAAACCUUUAGAAAUCAUUUUGGCUGGACAAAAAUUUUAAGAAUACUUACAUUACUACAUAGAAUAUUACAUUACAGUCUACAUGUAUAUAAACUUAUAAACUUAACUAUGCCUACAAAUAAAAGUAUACUUUUGGGAAGAAACUUCGUACGAGCAAUGUUAGUCUCAAACAUGUUGUGUGUUCGCUGUUGGAGUUGCAGCUUAAGUUGGAGCUUAAGAUAGAUAGACUUUAAAAGCUAUUUUGGGCAAAUUUUAAUUAUGAAAUGGGAAAUGUUAUGCUGGGUACUAGUUGGUUUUAACGAAUUCAAAGAUAUUAGGAUAUUACUUGGGAAUAUACAUCUAAAACACCACAUGCGCAAUCCGUUAAACACUUCAUCGAACACGAUCCACAACCGGGGAUCCAACCCCAGAGCGAUUCACAACCACUGGGGUUCGAUCAGUCUGAAAGAGUUGUUCGUGGCGAGCGGUUUACAUUCACACCUGGCAACAGGUGCGCUUCGUCGUCGAAUAAUCCGCUUGAUCGAUCGGCGAUGUCGAUUUCGUUUCACGUUAUCUUGCGCCAGAUCUGUCAUUUACCGUUUUCCAGCCAGAUCAGAGCAAAGUGCACAAAAUGCACAACAACAACAACAACACAAAAAGCUGCUAACUGAAUUUACAAAAACCGCAAAAAAUUGACAAAAAAAAAGAAGAAGUGAAGUGCAAUCAAUAAUCCAGAGCGAUCCCUAUCAGGGCAAAAAUGCUCCAUCUUUGGGCCAAGUGAAUUAAUUUAACAACUCGCGAAGCGUUCAAUAAUGCUCAAAGCAUAAGCCAAAUGGCCAAGUGAGAUAUUAAAGGAAUUUAAGCCCGCACGAACAAUGAGCAAAUAAAUACCAUUGGAAUACUUCGAAAAAAUCACCCACAACCAACAAAGUUCAAAAAAGCCAAAAAC